GCUCAGCCGGCUUUUAUUUAUUCCCACCCUAAUUAUGGACUUCAAAAUUAUGAUAAUAACUUGAACUGCACCUGGACUGUAACGUCAGUGAAUUCUAGAAUGAUCCGUAUUACAUUUCAGACCUCGGAUUUGGAACAAGAACAGGACUGCUUAUACGAUUAUGUGGAAAUUCGGGAUGAGGAAAACAACUUACUUUUGAAACAUUGUGGCCAUAAGAUUCCACCCGCAUUUGUGUUUCCUAGAAAUCAUCUUUCCAUCCAUUUCCGUACUGAUGAUACAAUAACAAAAAGAGGCUUCGUUUUAUCUUAUUCAGAGAACAAUUUCUGAUCAGAAUGCAAUAAUUUUACAGCAAAUACACUUUUGUCGUGACAGGAAAGGAUCGAAAGUGCCCAUUCGAAAAUGGGUUGUAAGGACUUUUAUGAUUGUAUAAUGUAAGCAAUAAAUGUUGCGGAUU